rnacentral:misc_RNA from 1 species
GGGGACGCCACGGAGAAAUUGAGAAAUGCAAGGCGACGAAGCCAGAAUCUUGCUUGGGUUCUCUCCUUGUUCCCGUCCGUCUUCUUCCCAGGUUAAAGAAGCUUACAAGAGGAAGGUAUGGGAUACUCAUCCUGACCUGUUCCCUGCUCAUGAAAAGCCUCUGGCGGAGUCCAAAUUCAAAUUGAUUUCUGAAGCUUAUUCAUGCCUCCUAUCUGGUGCCAGAAAUGGGGAUUCACAUUCAGCAUAUGAAAGGGUUGUCAGAAGAGGGGUUCCUGUUUCCCAUGGGGGAAGAAGAAACCAUGCCUUAAUCAAGCUUCCCUUUCUCUUACUCAUUCUGGGGACUGUAUCACUUGGAGGAUUAAAUGUUUCCAGGGCUUACAAGAAGCAGAAGGAAACCUAUCCUUCUCACAAUCCUUUUCUUCCUUGAGGCCAAGAAGAAAUGACGCAAAAAGCAGGAGCCUCUGAUGUUUGUUGCUUGAGUUUAGCUUGUUUCGGGAGUGUGUAAAGAUAGGAAAGUCUGCCUCCUGUUAUUGGAAAGGAAGGGUAAAUUUGUUGGGGUUUCUCCGCAUAUAGCCUAUAGUUACACAAUUGUUA